GUGCUCUCUUUGGCAGCACUUAUACUAAAAUUGGAACAAUACAAAGAAGUUUAUUAGCCUGGCCCCUGCGCAAGGAUGACACACAAAUUCGUGAAGUGUUCCAUAUUUUU